UACGUAGGGGGCAAGCGUUGUCCGGAAUCAUUGGGCGUAAAGCGCGUGUAGGCGGCUCGAUAAGUCUGCUGUGAAAGUCCAGGGCUCAACCCUGGGAUGCCGGUGGAUACUGUCGAGCUCGAGUCCGGAAGAGGCGAGUGGAAUUCCUGGUGUAGCGGUGAAAUGCGCAGAUAUCAGGAGGAACACCAAUGGCGAAGGCAGCUCGCUGGGACGGUACUGACGCUGAGACGCGAAAGCGUAGGGAGCAAACAGG
rnacentral:rRNA from 1 species